UACGUAGGGUCCGAGCGUUGUCCGGAUUUAUUGGGUUUAAAGGGUGCGUAGGUGGUCAAUUAAGUCAGUGCUGAAAUAUCCCGGCUUAACCGGGAGGGUGGCAUUGAUACUGAUUGACUUGAGUAGAGUUGAGGUAGGCGGAAUUGACGGUGUAGCGGUGAAAUGCUUAGAUAUCGUCAAGAACACCGAUAGCGAAGGCAGCUUACUAAGCUCAAACUGACACUGAUGCACGAAAGUGUGGGGAUCAAACAGG
rnacentral:rRNA from 1 species